rnacentral:misc_RNA from 1 species
GGUUGAUGCUUCUCAAAACGGAAAGUUGCCUCCAUUGCCCCGAAGCUCGGAGAAUAAUGGAAGUGCUGAAACAGCUGCCGUUGAGAGAGAGCGCUUACUGCUUCGGAAAGUCUCUGAACUCCAAGCUAGAAUGACGCAUUUGACUUAUGAAUUGACCGCUGAAAAGUUGAAAUACAUUCAAUUACAAGAGCAGUUCAACUCGGCAUCUGGUCAGGAAGAAAAC